rnacentral:tRNA from 1 species
GCGUCAAGCGCGGCGGUGACGCGGGCACGUUUUUCCGCGACGUGCUGGAAGCCAGGCUCGCCGCGUUCAAUUCGUGGCUGACGGC